rnacentral:rRNA from 1 species
AGUGAACGCUGGCGGUAGGCCUAACACAUGCAAGUCGAACGGCAGCACAGAGGAGCUUGCUCCUUGGGUGGCGAGCGGCGGGCGGGUGAGGAAUACAUCGGAAUCUACUCUGUCGUGAGGGAUAACGUAGGGAAACUUACGCUAAUACCGCAUACGACCUACGGGUGCAAGCAGGGGACCUUCGGGCCUUGCGCGAUUGAAUGAGCCGAUGUCGGAUUAGCUAGGUGGCGGGGUAAAGGCCCACCAAGGCGACGAUCCGUAGCUGGUCUGAGAGGAUGAUCAGCCACACUGGAACUGAGACACGGUCCAGACUCCUACGGGAGGCAGCAGUGGGGAAUAUUGGACAAUGGGCGCAAGCCUGAUCCAGCCAUACCGCGUGGGUGAAGAAGGCCUUCGGGUUGUAAAGCCCUUUUGUUGGGAAAGAAAUCCAGCUGGCUAAUACCCGGUUGGGAUGACGGUACCCAAAGAAUAAGCACCGGCUAACUUCGUGCCAGCCGCCGCCGUAA